UACGAAGGGGGCUAGCGUUGCUCGGAAUCACUGGGCGUAAAGCGCACGUAGGCGGAUUGCUAAGUCAGGGGUGAAAUCCCGGAGCUCAACUCCGGAACUGCCUUUGAUACUGGCGAUCUUGAGUCCGGGAGAGGUGAGUGGAACUGCGAGUGUAGGGGUGAAAUUCGUAGAUAUUCGCAAGAACACCAGUGGCGAAGGCGGCUCACUGGCCCGGUACUGACGCUGAGGUGCGAAAGCGUGGGGAGCAAACAGG
rnacentral:rRNA from 1 species